rnacentral:rRNA from 1 species
UAGUAGUACGGAAUAAUUGUUGGAAACGGCAACUAAUACCGUAUACGCCCUACGGGGGAAAAAUUUAUUGCUAUUAGAUGAGCCUAUAUUAGAUUAGCUAGUUGGUGGAGUAAUAGCCUACCAAGGCAAUGAUCUAUAGCUGAUCUGAGAGGAUGAUCAGCCACACUGGAACUGAGAUACGGUCCAGACUCCUACGGGAGGCAGCAGUGGGGAAUAUUGGACAAUGGGCGAAAGCCUGAUCCAGCCAUGCCGCAUGAGUGAAGAAGGCCUUUGGGUUGUAAAGCUCUUUUAGUGAGGAAGAUAAUGACGGUACUCACAGAAGAAGUCCUGGCUAACUCCGUGCCAGCAGCCGCGGUAAUACGGAGAGGGCUAGCGUUAUUCGGAAUUAUUGGGCGUAAAGGGCGCGUAGGCUGAUUAAUAAGUUAAAAGUGAAAUCCCGAGGCUUAACCUUGGAAUUGCUUUUAAAACUAUUAAUCUAGAGAUUGAAAGAGGAUAGAGGAAUUCCUGAUGUAGAGGUAAAAUUCGUAAAUAUUAGGAGGAACACCAGUGGCGAAGGCGUCUAUCUGGUUCAAAUCUGACGCUGAAGCGCGAAGGCGUGGAGAGCAAACAGGAUUAGAUACCCUGGUAGUCCACGCUGUAAAC